GGAAGAGAAAUAGAAGCUGCCAUUUGCUUUCUCUCCGCUGGCCGCUGACCCUUGGAGAGGCAGUGUGGACAACAUACUCACUUACUCACAACAGUGCCACUGAGACAUGUUAUCAGCUAUGACACCCUGAUGCCAACCAUCUGCCUGAAUGUCCAGAUUUGCUGUCUCUCAAAUGCUGCCACCAGGAGAGGAUAAUGGCCCUUCUGGUCCUGGAAUAUGUGGAAUUCACCUCAAAACACAGGCCCU
ensembl:lncRNA